ensembl:lncRNA
GGCUAAGCUAGUGGGGGCAAAGUUUCAGUGCAUUCCGUUGAUGUAGACAGCGUGAAAACGGAAACAACAAGUAUGCCGGCUCACUGUGCUGCAUACAAUUACACACUACGUCAUACGAUUGAGACAAGGAAACUUGGAAUGACUUUUCAUAGGUUUCCCAGAGACUAUGGGUUGAGGAGGAAUUGGAAGUUUGUCGGCUUAGACCUGGUGUCAUUCCAUCAGUGUUAAACUUCCCGGCUCAUCUUGGAAGAGUACGUGCCAGAAAGACCAUGACCAAGCAGCCUUGAGAUCUUAGGCAGCGUCUCCCUGAGACCAAAGAACUACAGACUCUUCACAACCUGCUCAAACUCUUGGUACAGGACCUCACCACACGGGUCAAGAAGGUUUCUGUCUCAUUUCUACUCUGAAGCUCACCUUCUCCUGCUCAAACUGCUGACAAAUGUUUCUGCUGCUCUAAAGUCUGGUGUCCAGAACUUCCUAAAAACUCUCAAAGUCUCUUCUGCUGCAGGUUGCUUUGUAGAACUGUUCCAGAAAACCUCACUAAACCACAUGGAGGAGCCUCAAGAUAGUCGUCCAAAUGAAACCAUACAAAAACCAAACUAGUACAACCCAAACGCUAAAGUCUCCUGCAGCCUACCAGAGAACCUCUGAGAACAGAGAAUCAGGACAGGAACUCUUACCUUCUGGACAACCAACGUUGGUUCUCAAACAAGAAUACAGAAUGUGUCUGAGCAAAAACCUCUAAAGACUCACUACAGCCAAGAUAAAGACACAGCUGCACCAAAUCCUCUAAUCACUGCACACAUUAGCACCAUGUGCUAACUGUGGCUAAAGAACCACAUUUACCAAGACAACUAUCCAGUACAAAGCCCUAAAACACACCAAGAAACACAUUAAAGACUAUUUUACUGCUGGAAGCUGCAAGCCAACGCCUAAAGAACAAACUGAAGCAAUGGAACCAAACCCGGUUCCAUGGUGAAGAGAAGCAGAGGAAAUGUUUGUCUGCAGCUAAAUAAAGCAGGAAGACACUGAGCUGCUCAGGUGUUCCUGAUAACACCAAGCAGCCACCUGGACAGCCAAUAGGAACACAGCUUACUGGAAGUCCAGAGGGCUGGGUUAGUCAAGGAAAUUUAGUUUAAAGUUGAAGCAGAAAGUUAACAAAGAAAGUUGAAAACCACCUUCUGAUACCUGAAAUCUCUGAGUUUUCACACAAAGAACACCUGAACAUGUCAAACUGGUUCCAUAGUAGAACCAUCAUUGUAAAAACGUCAUAGUAUGGUGUGUUGCUCAAAAAACAUUAGGACCCGGCUGUCAGGGGACAAACAUGUAAGAAACAUGAGAACAGAGAGAACCCAACCAGUAGGUCACAGUUUAUCAUCCCCCAGUCAUCUCCUGAAGUCCAUAUGAUGAGAGACAUCAGUAUCUGGUUGUUAAUUUACCAGAGGAUGCUUAGAAUCAUGCUGAUGUGGUCUGUACUCUACAGUAUUUUAGUGACUCAAUAAAUGCCUAAGUUGUUUUUUUAAAAAUGCUUUUUAGUUUUUAAUAAACAUUUAAGAGCCUAUAUGUGAUAAAUAAAUGGCCUUUGCCUAUCUUAAGAAAAACUCACUCAGAACUCUGAUAUGUUAACAGUACUAAAUAAAUCAAUAAAUACA